rnacentral:rRNA from 1 species
GCGCAAGGAUCAUUACCGAGUGAGGGACCCUCUGGGUCCAACCUCCCACCCGUGUUUAUUUACCACGUUGCUUCGGCGGGCCCGCAUUAACUGGCCGCCGGGGGGCUCACGCCCCCGGGCCCGCGCCCGCCGAAGACACCCCCGAACUCUGCCUGAAGAUUGUCGUCUGAGUGACAAAUAUAAAUUAUUUAAAACUUUCAACAACGGAUCUCUUGGUUCCGGCAUCGAUGAAGAACGCAGCGGAAAUGCGAUACGUAAUGUGAAUUGCAAAUUCAGUGAAUCAUCGAGUCUUUGAACGCACAUUGCGGCCCCCUGGUAUUCCGGGGGGCAUGCCUGUCCGAGCGUCAUUGCUGCCCUCAAGCCCGGCUUGUGUGUUGGGCCCCGUCCUCCGAUUCCGGGGGACGGGCCCGAAAGGCAGCGGCGGCACCGCGUCCGGUCCUCGAGCGUAUGGGGCUUUUGUCACCCGCUCUGUAGGCCCGGCCGGCGCUUGCCGAUCAACCCAAAUUUUUUAUCCAGGU